GGCUAUAAAUUAGUUCUGGUUGAGGAACAAAGGAAGGAGCCAAAUUAUCCAAAAAAUGAUCAGACAUAGUAGACGGUAGACUGGGGGAUGAAUUCUUGAAAGCUGAUCUGAAACGUUUAAUAUUUUGCCAAACAAAAGAUGGUUUAACUUCAGCCCAGGAACACUCACUAUCCCACCAGGGAGGCAAUGGAAUAUUAUUUGAGGAAGGCUUCUUUGAUGGAAAAACUUCGUCAGCAGUCUCAAUAAUAGCAUGUGCAAAAGCUUCAGAACUCCGAUACACAUCACCUUGGCUUAAGAUAGAAAGAGUUAAGAUCUUAUUAUCUAGGGUAGCUUUGUAUAAAUCCCAGUCUGCGCUAGCCAACUGAUAUUUAAUUCGGAAAGAGGUUUUAGUUUUAUUGAAAUUUUUAAAAGGUAAAUUUAUUAAAAUGGGGAAGUGAUCACUACCAUAAGUGGAGUUUAAGGUUUGCCAAAUCAAUGAUGAGGCUAAACUGGGUGAAGAAAUGGGAAGGUCAGGAGCACUUUUACCUUCAUUAAUAUUGGUUCUUCGUGUAGGAGUGCAAUUAUUUAAAAUACAAAGAUUAAGUGAAUCUACAAUGUCCAACACUUCAUGUCCAUAGUUAUUAUUAUUUGAACUACCCCAUGACUGGUGUUGAGCAUUAAAGUCACCUAAAACAAGUAUAGGUUUGGGAAGAGAUACUAAAAUAUUUUUAACUUCUCUUAAAAUUUGAGAAGAAGGAUGAGGAAUAUAUAUAGAGACAAAGCAAAUGUUAUUUACAAUGAUAGCAAUGAUUGAGAAAUUUUUAUCAUGAGAAGUAAUAUUUACAAGAGAAAAAGAAAGGGGAUGUUUUACUAAUAUUGCAACACCACCAUAGCCAUCAGAUCUAUCUUCUCUAAUACAAGAAUAUCCUUGAAUUUUAAAAAUGGAUUUAGGUUUUAGCCAAGUUUCUUGAAGACAUACUAUGGUGGGAUGAUACUUAUUAAUAAUAUGGAUAAGAUCACUUUUCUUACUAUUUAUACUACGACAAUUCCACUGAAUUGCCUUGGCGUAACUGUCCAUUAUGACUAAUAUAAUUAUUUAUAAUUUCCAUUAUUGGUUGGGCUACGUUGGACGGUUGAUUUUGAUUUAAAAUAUUUAAUAAAGUAAUUAUAAGUUCGACAAUAGAUUGUUUAGAUGAAUCAUUUGUUUCAUUGUUAAAUGCACAACCAUUUUUAGGGGUAGGCAAAUCAAAUUCAUUUAUGAUAGCAUUAUGAGCCUUGACAUCAUAUCCUUUGUUUGAUGUUAAAUGUUGACGAAGUUUUAAAAAUACAGUUUUCUUAUAGGAAACAUUUUGAAAAUCUUUAUUAUUAUUUAUAUGAGUUUUGUUGAUGACAGAGGUUGAAGGAGUGUUUGGAGAAGUUGCUACAACAUCAGAAUAUGAUUUGGUUAUUGUAGGGAAGAUUUUGGAUGCCUCUGCAUAAGAAAUACUAUUUUUAGCCAUAUGUUCUUUGAUAUUUUUUUGCCUUAAAAAUUCUUUACAUAUUUUAUUUGUUGUAUAGUGGGAGCAAUGACAAAUACAGCAAAAUGCCUCAUCUUCUGAUGUACAGCUGCUUCCAAAAUGACCGUCCUUGCCACAUUUAAAGCAGCGAGGAGUUGAUCUACACAUAUCUUUGACAUGUCCAUAUUGACAACAUUUAAAACACGAAGGACAGGACAACUAUUUCCGUAUCAAUAAAACUGGCUUAAUUGUCAAUAAAUGUUUUCUUUUUUAGUCGCCUUGCUCUUAAAACACUAAAAACAUUAAAUGAUGGAAUAAAAGCUUUGAAUCUGUUACUCGAAAGCUUAGUAACGCUGGUAAAGUUAUUAGCAUCUGAAAAAUUUGUAUAUGUAAGAGAGAGCCUAUUUCUGCCAAUUCUCUUCAAACUUCCAUUUAGAAUAUUUUUAAAUGAUUUAUUUUUAUCAAAUCGACCAAAAGAGACAGGGUGAGGCAGCGCGUGUGAAAUUUUCAUCUGGAGACAAUUGUUGUUUUUGUAUAUGGACAACAUAUGGUCCAAUAUCUGAGGCUUGGUAAAGGCGAGUUGUAGGAGUUGGGACUUUAGUAUCAGACAUAUCACCUUGACCACUAGUGGUCAUUGCGAUAGGUAUGGAAAGACCACAAUUAUUUUCAUCAUUUACACAAGAACAGUCGCUCUCUUUAAUUAUCUUGCCAUGACGCUUUCUUUUUUUAUUACAGUGUUUACAAAUUCUUAGAGCAUUUGUACGCUUUCUCGGUAGUGUCGCAUUAUUUACAGAACUAACAUCCGUAUCCAUAGAUGAUUCGCAAUGCUCAAUAGUUACAUAAUGCGAUACCUGCGGGACUGUGCCCCCAGGAUCGGGAGGUUCGUCUCCCAUGGAAAAAACAAAAUAAUGGAAUUAAAACCUUACCCUACGAAGAAAUAUUUACACUAAUUACAAAAUAUAAACUAAAAAGAACUAAAAUAACAAAUAUUUACA
rnacentral:misc_RNA from 1 species